rnacentral:rRNA from 1 species
UACGUAGGUCGCAAGCGUUGUCCGGAUUUACUGGGCGUAAAGAGCGCGCAGGCGGUCGUUCAAGUCGCGUGUGAAAGCCCCCGGCUCAACUGGGGAGGGUCACGCGAUACUGAUCGACUCGAAGGCAGGAGAGGGUAGUGGAAUUCCCGGUGUAGUGGUGAAAUGCGUAGAUAUCGGGAGGAACACCAACGGCGAAGGCAGCUCGCUGGGACGGUACUGACGCUGAGACGCGAAGGCGUGGGGAGCGAACAGG